rnacentral:rRNA from 1 species
GACGAACGCUGGCGGCGUGCUUAACACGUGCGAGUCGAACGGAAAGGCCCUGCUUUUGUGUGGUGCUCGAGUGGCGAACGGGUGAGUAACACGUGAGUAACCUGCCCUUGACUGUGGGAUAACUUCAGGAAACUGGGGCUAAUACCGGAUAGGAGCUCCUGCUGCAUGGUGGGGGUUGGAAAGUUUGGGCGGUUGGGGAUGGACGCGGGGCUUAUCAGCUUGUUGGUGGGGUAGCGUCUACCAAGGCAUUGAGUGGUUGACCGCCGUAGAGGGUGAACCGGCACAUUGGGACUGAGAUACGGCGCAGACUCGUACGGGAGGCAGCAGUGGAGAAUAUUGCACAAUGGGCGGAAGCGUGAUGCAGAAACGCCGCGUGCGGGAUGACGGCCUUCGGGUUGUAAACCGCUUUCGCCUGUGACGAAGCGUGAGUGACGGUAAUGGGUAAAGAAGCACCGGCUAACUACGUG